CACGCAUGACACACUGCAUAUCAAUAAGCGGAGGAAAAGAAACUAACAAGGAUUCCCCUUAGUAACGGCGAGUGAAGCGGGAAGAGCUCAAAUUUGAAAUCUUCAAGGUUUUACCUUGACGAAUUGUAGUUUAAAGAAGUGUUUUCUGUUGGAGUUUUGGUAAAAGUUCUUUGGAAUAGGACAUCAUAGAGGGUGAGAAUCCCGUAUUUGACCAUUAUUUCCAGCUGUGUGAUACACUUUCAAAGAGUCGGAUUGUUUGGGAAUGCAGUCCAAAAUGGGUGGUAAAUUUCAUCUAAAGCUAAAUAUUGGCGAGAGACCGAUAGCGAACAAGUACCGUGAGGGAAAGAUGAAAAGAACUUUGAAAAGAGAGUUAAACAGUACGUGAAAUUGUCAAAAGGGAAGCGUUUGACACCAGUGUUGUUUUCUCGAAAAUCAAUUAAAAAUGAUGGGAUUUUGUGUUGUAUUGACUUUAUCAGCUUUCUGCACUUUUUUCUUAUCUUUUUUAAUGCACUUUUCGUUUAACAAGUCAACAUCAAUUUCUUUUGUUGUAAAAGAGUCAUUGGAAGGUGGCUUUUUCUUCGGAAAAAGUGUUUAUAGCCUUUGGCUUCUGCAAUCGGAGAGAUUGAGGUCUGCAGCGUAGAUCCCUCGGGGUUAGAUACAUUUGUGCUAGGCUAUAGUUCUUUAUAGACAACUUGUUGACUAUAAUCAAUCCUGUAACUUACUCGCUUAUGCUAUUUUACCUACGCUUAGGAUGUUGAAGACUCUACAGAGAUA
rnacentral:rRNA from 1 species